rnacentral:lncRNA from 1 species
GGUGACAUCAGCAAAAGGGAGCCAACUCCUUCCCCGUCUGCCGUUUUGUACUCUUGGCCUAACGUUGACUCAAAACAGCAACUUGGAGCCUUCCCUGACCUGUUGGAAGAAGAGCCCAAGGACCGUAGCAAGGCCCUGAUUCUGGGAGACGAGAGAACACGCUGACUUAGAAUGCUUGUCUCUGCAUCCUGGUCAGAAAGUAGAUGGACGACACUUUCAUCUCCGACUGGAUUUUGGUGAGAGAUGGGCAAACCCCGGGCUCUAGGCUGGAGCAGCAGCUCUUGUAUCCACACAAAAUCAGGACUGGUGGAGGGAGCCAUCUUCAAACAUAAAUUUGGCAUAUUAUGAAUAUUCAGUGAAACAACGUGUGUGCUCACCAGGCAGGAAGAGCUCAGCAAAUGGUGGCUGGUCUGGAAAUUAUUGUCAUCACUAUAAUCCUCAUCGACAUCCUCAGCCUUAUUGUCAUCAUCAUCAACCUCAUCAGUGUCAUCAUCAGCCUCAUCAACGUCAUCAUCAGCCUCAUCACUGUCAUCAUCAGCCCUUUGUCAUCAUCAUCAUCCACCUUGCUGUUCUCUUCCUUGUUGACAUCAUUAUCCUCAUCCUCCUCAUCACCAUCAACAGCAUUAUUUUUAUUUUUUAUUCUUCCACCUGUAAGAGUUUCUUUUCCUCCCUCUUAUUGUUUUCCUCUUGGGAUGACUAGUGGUGAAGGAAGUGUCAGAGGCAAUGACCUCACAGCUGUCGUUGCCAUGGGUGACACCUCCCAGAAAGAGCUUAUUGGAACUUUCAGUCCAGGGGAGUUUCUGCUGUUCCAGGAUGGAGGAAAUGUUCAAGAACUGUGGAGCAUCUGAGAUUUUUUUCCUACUUUUGAUGUCCACCUAGUCAAAGUUCAGUUCCCUUCCAGGAUCUGCGCUUGGGAAGAAAUAAGCCACCCCUCAGAACCUCAGAAGAUUUACUUCAACAUCUGUAGAAGUAUUUUAAUUUCUUCCUUGAGUAGGUUUGGCUUGGCCAACUGAAACUGUGGUUAAACUAUUUUUAAUCAUGUUAAUAAGAAAAUUGUC